rnacentral:lncRNA from 1 species
GGAGGUGACUGUUGCUCGGGGAUUAGCUGAGUAUUACUGGGAGUCAGCUGGCAGGUGUAAGAAGGUCUAGCAGGACAAGUAUUAGCCAUCCAGGAAAAUUCAAAGAAGCACAGCUAUCUACAAGCCAUUUAAAAAUGCCUAGAAAGCCUUGGACAAGAAGGCAUUUGAAGGAAGGAGUUGAAAGAAGAAAACAGAGUGACUUUUCAGAUGUUUCCAGAAGAAUUUUAUUCAAAGAAGGUCAUGAUAUGGU